UACGGGGGGGGGCAAGCGUUGUUCGGAAUUACUGGGCGUAAAGGGUUUGUAGGUGGCCCGCUAAGUCACACGUGAAAUCCCUCAGCUUAACUGGGGAACUGCGUGUGAGACUGGCAGGCUCGAGGGCAGGAGAGGAACGCGGAAUCCAGGUGUAGCGGUGAAAUGCGUAGAUAUCUGGAGGAAUACCGGUGGCGAAAGCGGCUCACUGGGUCUUUUCUGACGCUGAUGCACGAAAGCUAGGGGAGCAAACGGG
rnacentral:rRNA from 1 species